AGGGAUGUAGCGCAGUUUUGGUAGCGUGUUUUGUUUUGGGUACAAAAUGUCACGAGUUCAAAUUUUGUCAUCCCUACCUAUUACUUAUCUUCUGAAUAGUAAUGAGGGAUCAAUUGAGAUCAAUUAAUAAAAUUGGACAUGCAUAAUUAAAUAAAUAUUUAAUUUUUUAUAGUAUAUAUGCAAGAUAAAUUGGGGUUACAAAAUAUUUAUUGUGAUAAUAAAGCGCUCUUAGUUCAGUUCAGUAGAACGUGGGUCUCCAAAACUUGAUGUCGUAGGUUCAAAUCCUACAGGUCGUG
rnacentral:tRNA from 1 species